rnacentral:rRNA from 1 species
GACGAACGCUGGCGGCGUGCUUAACACAUGCAAGUCGAACGAAGUGGCGAACGGGUGAGUAACGCGUAAUCAACCUGCCCUUCAGAGGGGGACAACAGUUGGAAACGACUGCUAAUACCGCAUACUGAAGGCGGGGAUUGCGUCUGAGUAGCUAGUUGGAGGGGUAACGGCCCACCAAGGCGAUGAGCAGUCGCCGGUCUGAGGGUAUGAACGGUCACAUUGUGACUGAGAAACGGCCCAGACUCCUACGGGAGGCAGCAGUGGGGAAUCUUCCGCAAUGGACGAAAGUCUGACGAAGCAACGCCGCGUGAGUGAUGACUGCCUUCGGGUUGUAAAGCUCUGUUAAUCGGGACGCGGUACCGGAAUAGAAAGCCACGGCUAACUACGUGCCAGCAGCCGCGGUAAUUC